CUGCGCAUGUCCGCCAUAUUGUCUUGGAAAAUAAAAUAAAUCUUGGUUAUUUUAAAGGAUAUUUUGUAUUUUUUCAUAAUAAUAGUAAACAUUAAUGAUUUAAUAGUAAAAAUCAGUGGUAUUAAUUAUGUUUAAGUCACGUUUUUUUAUUAAGACAUAAUAUACACGCUAAAUCCACAAAAAAAUUGUCAUUUUUAAGGCCUACCCUCUUAUUCAACAAUUACCCAAUUUAAUAUGGAAUGUAAUGAAAACAUUAAAGAGCCUAGAAACCAAGAAAUUUUAACACAUAUUAAAGAUGAAGGAGAUUCUGUGCAGAAAUAUAACAAUAUAGAA
rnacentral:lncRNA from 1 species